rnacentral:lncRNA from 1 species
CUCAACCACUGAGCCAUAUCCCCAGCCCUAUUUUGUAUUUUAUUUAGAGACAAGGUCUCACUGAGUUGCUUAGAACCUUGCUUUUGCUGAGGCUGGCUUUGAACUCAUGAUCCUCCUGUCUCAGCCUCCUGGGAGCCACUGGGAUUACAGGCAUGCACCACUGUGCCCGGCCAAAGUAAAUUAUUCAUACAUCACUGAUUCAGGCCCUGAGUCCAGACCAGGGAAAUGUAGAGGGCAGGGCCUGUACCUUUUGACAAGAUUCAAUGAAUUCCUCAAUGGUCACCACACCAUCCUUGUUUCUGUCCAUCUUCUACAAGAAGGUGGUCGGGCAGGGAGAACAAUAGGGAUGGCAGGAGAAAGGCAUGCAGAAUUCAGGUAAGUUCCCGUGUUGGUUCCUGGUCUCCU